GGGUCCUAGAACGGGCCUAGCUCAGAGCAGGUGCUCACUAUUGAUGGAAUGCUUGUUGAAAGAAUGCAUGAAUCUCAUCUCCUUUUGUGGGUGAAAAACUCAUCCUAUUCUCAUUCCUGAUUAACUUUCUUUCUUUUUCUUUUUUUUUUCAAAAGGGAGCCAUGAUCUGUCACCCAGGUGGAGUGCAAUAGUGUGAUCUUAGCUCCCUGCAACCUCUGCCUUCUGGAUUAAAGAAAUUCUGCUGCCUCAGCCUCCCAUGUAGCUGGGAUUACAGGUGCACGCCACCAGGCCCGGCUAAUUUUUUGUAUUUUUAUUAGAGACAGGGUUUCACCAUGUUGGCCAGGCUAGUCUCAAACUCCUGACCUCGUGAUCUGCCCGCUUUGGCCUCCCAAAGUCCUGGGACUACAGGCAUGAGCCACCGUACCCAGCCACUCUUGGUUAACUUAAUGGAAAUAUUUACAGAGAAUCUUUCUCUUCUGGGUUCUAGCAUCUUAUCUGUAACCUCUGCAGGGGAGUCACUGAGCAGAAGGAAGCGAGUUGCCUGAGAUUCUUCAAAGCCCCAGCCCUUUUGGAGGUAGAAGUUGCUGGCCCCAUCUUGCUCACAAUCCUCCAAAGUUUGAAAGUUAUUUUCCAGGAGACUUGGCUUGCACUGAGAGUUGUCCUCCCACCCUCUCUCCAAAUUUCCUCUUGGGGGUAGCCUAACAAGGUACUGUCACAGACCCUUGCCAGCCACGAUGACCCCACCCAGACCAUCCCUCUGCUGUUUCACUCUUUGUUCCUCUCUGGAGCUCUCUGGGGAAGGGU
rnacentral:lncRNA from 1 species